UGCAAGUCGAACGAUGAAGUUCCUUCGGGAAUGGAUUAGUGGCGAACGGGUGAGAAACACGUGAGAAACCUGCCUUUCAUUUUGGGAUAACUCCGGGAAACCGGAGUUAACACCGAAUACUCCGUCUCGGCGGCAUCGCUGAGCCGGGAAAAAAUUUUGAUGAAAGAUGGUCUCGCGGCCUAUCAGCUAGUUGGUGAGGUAAUGGCUCACCAAGGCGACGACGGGUAGCCGGCCUGAGAGGGCGACCGGCCACACUGGGACUGAGACACGGCCCAGACUCCUACGGGAGGCAGCAGUGGGGAAUAUUGGGCAAUGGGCGCAAGCCUGACCCAGCGACGCCGCGUGAGGGAUGAAGGCCUUCGGGUUGUAAACCUCUUUCAGUAGGGAAGAAGCGAAAGUGACGGUACCUAAAGAAGGAGCACCGGCUAACUAUGUGCCAGCAGCCGCGGUAAUACAUAGGGUGCAAGCGUUGUCCGGAAUUAUUGGGCGUAAAGAGCUCGUAGGUCGUUUGCCACGUCGAUUGUGAAAAUCUGAGGCUCAACCUCAGACCUGCAGUCGAUACGGGCAAACUAGAGUGUGGUAGGGGAGACUGGAAUUCCUGGUGUAGCGGUGGAAUGCGCAGAUAUCAGGAGGAACACCAAUGGCGAAGGCAGGUCUCUGGGCCAUAACUGACACUGAGGAGCGAAAGCGCGGGGAGCGA
rnacentral:rRNA from 1 species